AAGGCUCUAAAUCAAGGCCAAGAGCUCUCUGUAGCCACUGGUUUCAAACAGGAGCCGAGAGUAAACAUCUUCCUAUGGUCUGUUGGGACUCCGUUUUUCCUUUGUUGAGAGUCUUUCAAUUCAGUUGGAAGAAAUAAUU
ensembl:snoRNA